GAUGAAGAACGCAGCGAAAUGCGAUAAGUAAUGUGAAUUGGAGAAUUCAGUGAAUCAUCGAAUCUUUGAACGCACAUUGCGCCCGCCAGUAUUCUGGCGGGCAUGCCUGUUCGAGCGUCAUUUCAACCAUCAAGCCCCAGGCUUGUGUUGGGGACCUGCGGCUGCCGCAGGCCCUGAAAACCAGUGGCGGGCUCGCUGUCACACCGGGCGUAGUAGAUUUUAUCUCGCUCAGGGCGUGCUGCGGGUUCCGGCCGUUAAAAAGCCUUUUUUACCCAAGGUUGACCUCGGAUCAGGUAGGAAGACCCGCUGAACUUAAGCAUAUCAAUAAGCGGAGGA
rnacentral:misc_RNA from 1 species